rfam:Desulfitobacterium hafniense Y51 DNA, complete genome.
UAACAGAAAAGGUUUGCAGAGCGGUCGGCUUUUCCUCCGGAAGGAGAUGAUACCAUGGAAGUAUACGAGACUUUAGCACUAAUGAUCUCUUUUGGAACAUUAGUCGCCUUAUUACUUACCUCCGAUAAACGGAAAUAGACCGCUCAUCCUGCAAAAGUGAUGCGGUCUAUCCGUGUUAACUUGAAGCCGUCCGCCCUUUAAGCGGCUGUUGCAAGGAGCCAUGUUAGCGCAUGGCUC